rnacentral:rRNA from 1 species
CGAGUAGACGGCGAUGCAAGUCAGAUGUGAAAUGCUAGGGCUUAACCUUAGAACUGCAUCUGAAACUGUAUUGCUAGAGUGCAGGAGAGGUAAACGGAAUUCCUAGUGUAGCGGUGAAAUGCGUAGAUAUUAGGAGGAACAUCAGUGGCGAAGGCGGUUUACUGGACUGUAACUGACGUUGAGGCGCGAAAGCGUGGGGAGCAAACAG